UUGAAUAUAAUGUAUUUUUUAUUUUGAUUAUGCUCAAAACAACAGCAUAAGAAAUAGAGAGGAAAAAGAGUCACACAAGCCGUUGACAAGACUGACUGACUGGGAACAAGAUAAACAUCCUGACAAGGCAAAUAUAGUUCUUGAUUAUAUGUAUCAACGUGGAUUCUGUCACAACACAAUUCUUGGAACACACAU